UGACCGGCCACAUUGGGACUGAGAUACGGCCCAGACUCCUACGGGAGGCAGCAGUGGGGAAUAUUGCACAAUGGGCGGAAGCCUGAUGCAGCAACGCCGCGUGCGGGACGACGGCCUUCGGGUUGUAAACCGCUUUCGCCUGUGACGAAGCGUGAGUGACGGUAAUGGGUAAAGAAGCACCGGCUAACUACGUGCCAGCAGCCGCGGUGAUACGAAGGGUGCGAGCGUUGUCCGGAUUUAUUGGGCGUAARGGGCUCGUAGGUGGUUGAUCGCGUCGGAAGUGUAAUCUUGGGGCUUAACCCUGAGCGUGCUUUCGAUAUGGGUUGACUUGAGGAAGGUAGGGGAGAAUGGAAUUCCUGGUGGAGCGGUGGAACGCGCAGAUAUCAGGAGGAACACCAGUGGCGAAGGCGGUUCUCUGGGCCUUUCCUGACGCUGAGGAGCGAAAGCGUGGGGAGCGAACAGGCUUAGAUACCCUGGUAGUCCACGCUGUAAACGGUGGGUACUAGGUGUGGGGUCCAUUCCACGGGUUCCGUGCCGUAGCUAACGCUUUAAGUACCCCGCCUGGGGAGUACGGCCGCAAGGCUAAAACUCAAAGGAAUUGGCGGGGGCCCGCACAAGCGGCGGAGCAUGCGGAUUAAUUCGAUGCAACGCGUAGAACCUUACCUGGGUUUGACAUGGAUCGGGAGUGCUCAGAGAUGGGUGUGCCUCUUUUGGGUCGGUUCACAGGUGGUGCAUGGCUGUCGUCAGCUCGUGUCGUGAGAUGUUGGGUUAAGUCCCGCAACGAGCGCAACCCUUGUUCACUGUUGCCAGCACGUUAUGGUGGGAACUCAGUGGAGACCGCCGGGGUCAACUCGGAGGAAGGUGGGGAUGACGUCAAGUCAUCAUGCCCCUUAUGUCCAGGGCUUCACGCAUGCUACAAUGGCUGGUACAGAGAGUGGCGAGCCUGUGAGGGUGAGCGAAUCUCGGAAAGCCGGUCUCAGUUCGGAUUGGGGUCUGCAACUCGACCUCAUGAAGUCGGAGUCGCUAGUAAUCGCAGAUCAGA
rnacentral:rRNA from 1 species